CUUUUGCUCUUGUCAAAGGCAGUCCAUGCUGCGGGCAGAGCAGAGUGAGACCAACACAGAGUGCUUCUGACGGUCCCCUUCAGAUAUACUAACAGAGAGCAAAAAUGUAAGAGAGCAACCACAGCAUCUGAAGAGAACUUUUCCAAACACGGAGGGAGGGGCAUGCUGGAAAGAGAAGAGCCUUAAUAUGUGUGAAUAAAGGGAUGAAUUGAGCAGUACCCCAUCUUUCAACCUGCUCUCUCACCUGAGAAGAUAGCACUGGAUGUUCCCAGCAGCAUUGCAAAGUUCAUGGGUUAAUGGAAACCUCUGCACUACCGCAUGUUUUUGCACAGAAUAGGAGGGAACACAGAUGAUGGGAGAAUAGAAGGCUGCUGGUCUGCAAGGAGCAAUGUUUAGAGGAUGUGUCCUGGGCCAGAACCCAAAUGCAUGGCAGUAGUUUGCUGAGGCUCUGCUAGCAAGCAUGGGAAUGACUGUGAUGCCCUCUGUGCCAUUCUGGAUGACAAAAGAUUUAUGCCUGGGCCACUUGCAGGCAGCUGCCUAAAGCGCUGCAGGUCCAGGCAGAAAGCUACACCUUCAAGAAGGAUGCAGACCCAAUUUCACUGACAAUUGCUUUGAAAAUGGCAGCCCUCUGUAGCACCUCCUGAAGAAGAAAACAGG